rnacentral:rRNA from 1 species
AUACGUAGGUGGCAAGCGUUAUCCGGAAUUAUUGGGCGUAAAGAGUGAGCAGGCGGUUAAUUAAGUCUGAGGUUAAAGCGUUGGGCUCAACCCCAUAAAGCCUUGGAAACUGAUUGACUAGAGUACGGGAGAAGUGAAGGGAACUCCAUGUGUAGCGGUGAAAUGCGUAGAUAUAUGGAAGAACACCAGAGGCGAAGACGCUUUAAUAGCCCGAAACUGACGCUCAGUCACGAAAGCGUGGGUAGCAAAUAGGAUUAGAUACCCUAGUAGUCCACGCUGUAAAAGAUGACAACUAAAUAAUGCCGCGAGGCAGUGUUGAAGCUAACGCAUUAAGUGGUCCGCCUGGGGAGUACGGUCGCAAGACUGAAACUUAAAGGAAUUGACGGGG